GACGGAGGAUGCAAGUGUUAUCCGGAAUCACUGGGCGUAAAGCGUCUGUAGGUGGUUCGAAAAGUCCACUGUUAAAAAUUGAGGCUUAACUUCAAAGAUGCCGUGGAAACUUUCAAACUAGAGUAUGGUAGGGGUAGAGGGAAUUUCCAGUGGAGCGGUGAAAUGCGUAGAUAUUGGAAAGACCACCGAUGGCGAAGGCACUCGUACUGGCCAUUACUGACACUGAGAGACGAAAGCUGGGGAGCAAAUGGG
rnacentral:rRNA from 1 species